CGGCCGUCGUCGUCGGGGGGCGCUGGGGGUGUCAGAGGGACGGGGGGGGGUGUCGAGGGGGCGGCCCCGGAGAGGGGACCGGCACCAGCAGGAGGGCGAAGGAGGACGCGCAGCUGCGUAGACCCGAAAAACUGGAAAAAUUUGCAGUUUAGGAGAGAUCCCAGGGCGGGCUGAGGGGAGUUUGGGAAGGGAGGAAGGGCUGUGGAAGGGAGGAGACGGGGCUGAGUGGCAGGGAGGGCAGUCCGAGGGCCCGGGGCUCCAGAAGUGUGGGACGUGUGGCGUGGGGUCUCUCGGGCAUCCUCUCAUGUUUGGCUUCAGAGGGAGGUGGAGGGAUGAUGAGGGAUCUGGGGAGUCAGAGAGCAGGGAAAGUAGGCUGCUUCUGGUGGGUUCAGGAACCAAAGCAAAAGUUUAGCCGUGGUAGGACUUGCAGCUUGGCUACUCGGUUUUCCUUUGAGGAAAGGAACGAGAAAGAUUGGAGAUAGCGUCAGAAAAUGGGUGAUGCUCUGGUGGAACGCUAAGUUCAUAGUGACGAACUGUUCAAGCACGGGUUUUUUUUUAGGGGUUUAAGGCCACUGGGAUAUGAAACCUGAAGGUCCUGAAUGGAUGUUACGAUUAAAACAGGACCUUUGGUACCUCAGUGACAUUUACAAUGAUAAUUUAAUCUGGAGCAGUUUAAGCAUUGACAGUCUUGCAAAAUGCAAUUGAGAGGUGUGAGGUUUUGAGUUUUAGUCAACGUUUGAGUAGUGGUGGAGCAGGAUUUCUAAAAGUCCUGAGAAAUGAACUACAUAAAAAUGUAGCUGUACACAUGAACAUCAGAUUAGGAGGCUCAUUCUGCCCUCCUCUCUCAAAGCUGAAAAGAAGCUUCAAUAUUGAGGUCUAACAGAAAAUUCUACCCAGUCAAUUAUGGUUCUACUAAUGCCUGUUAACCAUCUUCAAACCAGAAGUAAGGUGCAUAUUUUCUGUUGCAGUAUCUUGCGUCUUGAUGAAAAGCACUUCUCAAAGCACAGUGAACAUCCUUUCACUGUCAUAAAACAAUGGUUAUUUAAACUAAUGUGCCCCUUAAACUUCGUUAUUCUUCGAAAGUGUUUUUUUUUUGGCUUUGUAUUUAUUUUCUGUGCAGAUUUAAGCAUUACUUACUCUUUCAGUAUUUUGUCCUGAUGUUCUGUUAUUUUUGAAUGAUUGUACAAAUAAAGUAUGAAGUAGAUGACAGGCUCCAAUUUGUCUUCAUUUUCUGCUGCUGGUGAAGGUUAUAAAAUUCACAUGCCUAGUAGAAAUAUAUGUACUUAAGACUUACAUUUUUAUAGGUAAAUUUGAAAUUGGCUACUCAUGAUCAUUAAGGUUAAAUAUAGAAAUGUAGCUGUUACCAUACUGAAAUGAAAAUCAGAUAUGCACAUCAAUUUAUGAUGAAAACUAUUCCAAAUAAAGAUGAUGUCAUAUAUAUUGAGUAGUUAGGCAUAUUGAAUUUCUUACGUACAUACAAAAAUGAUACUCUUUAGACUAAAACAGCAUUUUGGCCUUCCUAAAAAUGGCAGUAGCUUAGAAUGAUGCAAACAGCAUUCAUUGGAUAUAGUCCUCUUAAAUUAAAAGUAACGAUGUAUAAUUUCAAUGUUUAUAUUUUUGUGCACAUCUCAGAUUAUGAAAACCAUUUAUAUAUCAUUGCAUUUAAAUUGGCUUGCCUUGAGUUUCAACUUUAUGUUCUGUGGUAUUUUUCAAGUAUUUUCGUAUGCUUUGGGAGAUAUAUAUAUAUAUUAAAAAAAAAAAAAAAACUUUAUUUUUGUUAAAAUGUUGUUUUCAGAGAUAUUCAGUUACCAAAAUGGCCUCUAAAGCUUGACCUUGUAAAAUUUUUGACUGUUUUAGCUGACAGCAUUCAAAAUAUUUUUGAUGUUCUGCAAUGCAGUCUAAUAAAUUUAAAAUAUUAUAAUGUUCUGUCGGAUUUCUUAAGUUUCUGUUGGAUUUCUUAGGUAUUACCCGUACCAAGUAAGAAUUUCUUUCUUCCCUAUGGAAGGAGAAGGACAUAAAAGACCCACAUUUAAGCUCUAUUUCUAUGUCAGUUAUUUCACAUUAUGGUGCAUGCAUUUGAAUGUUGACACAGGUUUUUAGACAAUACUGAAAACUUAAAAAUUGUCAUUUUGAAACUGAUCAUUUUCUGAUGCUGCCAUUUUCUGUAGUUAAUGAAAACAGAUUUUACAGGUAAUUUUUCAUUCUUUUUUUUUUCCUUUUGCACUGACUUUUCUAGAUGUGUAAAAAAAGACAUAGUACAAAGGCAUAGAAACAAACCCUAAAGUAGGUGUUUUAACUAAGACUAAUGUUGUGUGGGUUAUCAGCCAUUUGUUUUACCUACUGACGAACAUCAGAAGUACUGCUCUGAAUGCCAGCACUUAACUUCCUCAACCACACUUGUUAUAGCUAGUGUCUAGUUAUAUAGAGUUUUAGUUAGCUAAGAAAAAUAAUGAAGAAGUAAUUGAUCAUGGCCCUGAAAUC